UACGGUAGGGCGCAAGCGUUGUCCGGAAUUAUUGGGCGUAAAGAGCUCGUAGGCGGUCUGUCACGUCUGCCGUGAAAACCCGAGGCUUAACCUCGUGGCUUGCGGUGGAUACGGGCAGACUAGAGGUAGGUAGGGGAGAACGGAAUUCCCGGUGUAGCGGUGAAAUGCGCAGAUAUCGGGAGGAACACCGGUGGCGAAGGCGGUUCUCUGGGCCUUACCUGACGCUGAGGAGCGAAAGCAUGGGGAGCGAACAGG
rnacentral:rRNA from 1 species